AACGAACGCUGGCGGCGCGCCUAAUACAUGCAAGUCGAGCGAGAAGACGUAGCAAUACGUUUGUAAAGCGGCGAACGGGUGAGGAAUACAUGGGUAACCUACCCUCGAGUGGGGAAUAACUAGCCGAAAGGUUAGCUAAUACCGCGUACGCUCCUUGGACUUCGGUUCAGGGAGGAAAGCGAUACCGUGGGUAUCGCGCUCUUGGAUGGGCUCAUGUCCUAUCAGCUUGUUGGUGAGGAACGGCUCACCAAGGCUUCGACGGGUAGCUGGUCUGAGAGGACGAUCAGCCACACUGGCACUGCGACACGGGCCAGACUCCUACGGGAGGCAGCAGUAAGGAAUAUUGCGCAAUGGGCGAAAGCCUGACGCAGCGACGCCGCGUGGGGGAUGAAGGUCUUCGGAUUGUAAACCCCUUUCGGGAGGGAAGAUGGAACGAGCAAUCGUUCGGACGGUACCUCCAGAAGCAGCCACGGCUAACUUCGUGCCAGCCGCCGCGGUAAG
rnacentral:rRNA from 1 species